rnacentral:lncRNA from 1 species
CGAAAUUACUCGGCCACCAUCGACGGCACUGCAAACUGAAAACCGCCAACGCCCUACAUCCACUUCUCACCUACAUCUUAAAACACAUUCUUAUUUCUUAAUCCCAGUCCUAAACCCAAAACCCAAAUCAAGUCCUUGUUUGAGCCUCAUUCUUCUAAAAAUUCAUUUUUUCAAAACUCAUUUUCAACCACACAUUUUUCAAUAAAAUAAUAUUACAUGCAAAUCUAACUUUUUCUUAAUUUUUAACCAUACAUUUUUCAUCAAUCUACUAUUCCAAAAUACAUUCUUUCUCUAAAGUGGGGGUCAAACAAGGGAUAAAAUCAAACCUUCCAACGCCACCCAACCAGUGCCACCAUCUCUGAAAAAGAUCAAUUCAACCACGGGAGGAGUUUGAGGUUCUCAACCACAUACCAACAAUGUCCAUUCUCCACACCUGAAUAAUUGGAGAAGGGAUAAUUUUGGACAACACGGUCAUGGGGAUGGGCCACAUUAUAACAAUCAUGAAGGCAAGCACAAUCAAGAUCGUAGAGAUGAUCGUCUUCCCCAUCAAUAUAUUCGUCCUCCCAUAGGGUUUUUGCCGCCCCCAACACCCCUGGCAACGCAAUGCUCAUCACACAUCUACCCAUGAGGGCUUUUGUAGACUCUGUCAAAGCUUUUGAUGCUCAUACUAUCUCUAAAGAUUCCAUUGCAUCUGAUUACGUUUAAAUAUGAUUUAGGCUUGCCUCACAAUUACUUAUUGACAUUACUGCCAAAAUUUCCGGAGUAUUUUCAAAUUUUUGAUAUGGGUUUUUGGGAUUCAAGUGGUAAUGUAGUGCUUGAUUUGGAAUUGGUUUAUUGGCGGAAAGACUUGUUUGUUUCAGCUAUGGAAAAGAGAGUAAAGAGCGAGGAUGAAAAUGAAAGACUUGCGGAAGAGUCGACAGUUUGCAAUGGCGCCGAUUGUACGUUGAUUGACGGUGACUAAGUCAUUUUGGUUACGGUUUUUAGGGUGGUUUGAAGGCGGGUGUGGGGGUUGGGAAAAGAAGUUAAC